UUGACGCUGGCGGCAGGCCUAACACAUGCAAGUCGAGCGGAUGACGGGAGCUUGCUCCUUGAUUCAGCGGCGGACGGGUGAGUAAUGCCUAGGAAUCUGCCUGGUAGUGGGGGACAACGUUUCGAAAGGAACGCUAAUACCGCAUACGUCCUACGGGAGAAAGCAGGGGACCUUCGGGCCUUGCGCUAUCAGAUGAGCCUAGGUCGGAUUAGCUAGUAGGUGAGGUAAUGGCUCACCUAGGCGACGAUCCGUAACUGGUCUGAGAGGAUGAUCAGUCACACUGGAACUGAGACACGGUCCAGACUCCUACGGGAGGCAGCAGUGGGGAAUAUUGGACAAUGGGCGAAAGCCUGAUCCAGCCAUGCCGCGUGUGUGAAGAAGGUCUUCGGAUUGUAAAGCACUUUAAGUUGGGAGGAAGGGCAGUAAGCUAAUACCUUGCUGUUUUGACGUUACCGACAGAAUAAGCACCGGCUAACUCUGUGCCAGCAGCCGCGGUAAUACAGAGGGUGCAAGCGUUAAUCGGAAUUACUGGGCGUAAAGCGCGCGUAGGUGGUUCGUUAAGUUGGAUGUGAAAGCCCCGGGCUCAACCUGGGAACUGCAUCCAAAACUGGCGAGCUAGAGUAUGGUAGAGGGUGGUGGAAAUUCCUGUGUAGCGGGUG
rnacentral:rRNA from 1 species